AAAUCAUGCGGAACCAGUUCUCUGUCAAAUGCUGGCUUCGCUACAUCGAGUUCAAACAGGGCGCCCCGAAGCCCAGGCUCAAUCAGCUAUACGAGCGUGCACUCAAGCUGCUGCCCUGCAGGUGGGAAUGGCUCCAGCUGCCCUGCCCACCAGCCCCCACCCCACCUGGUCCAGUUAUAACAAAACUGCUAAGUAGGUCCCGGGUGAUUGCUUCGUGUUCCAUCACUGACCUGUACAUCCCUUGAUGGGUCAGCACACCUUCUCUGAUGUCCCAGUCUGUCCCUGUCAUUGCUGAGACAUGUCACCCCUCCCACACUUGCCAACUGGGGCAGGGCAAAUGGUUCUGGGGGGGGGUCCAUAAAGCUGACUGAUCAGCAUCUGUCCCCUCCUAUUCCCCAGCUACAAACUCUGGUACCGAUACCUGAAGGCGCGUCGGGCACAGGUGAAGCAUCGCUGUGUGACCGACCCCGCCUAUGAAGAUGUCAACAACUGUCAUGAGAGGGCCUUUGUGUUCAUGCACAAGGUUUGGGGCUAGGCGAGGGGAUGAAUCGGGAGGAGGGGCUCAGUCCAUGGUGGUGGGUGGGGUGGGGACAGGGGCUGGGCUCAGCACGUUAGGGAUGGGGGCUUGGAUUCCUGUUGCUUCUUUGCACGGGAAGUUGGGCUGGACUCAGUCCUGGAGCUGGGGGUUUCUGGGGUCCCGCUGCAUUUAUGUGGAGGCCCCAGGUGUGGCUCAGCCACAGGACAUCGAGUGUCUGUGGCCAGGCCAUGGAGUCCGUGGCUUAGCCCCAGCCGCCUCUCCCCACACCCCCAGAUGCCUCGUCUGUGGCUAGAUUACUGCCAGUUCCUCAUGGACCAGGGGCGCGUCACACAUACCCGCCGCACCUUCGACCGUGCCCUCCGGGCACUGCCUAUCACUCAGCACUCUCGAAUUUGGCCCCUGUAUCUGCGCUUCCUGCGCUCACACCCACUGCCUGAGACAGCUGUGCGAGGCUAUCGGCGCUUCCUCAAGCUGAGUCCCGAGAGUGCAGAGGAGUACAUUGAGUACCUCAAGUCAAGUGACCGGCUGGAUGAGGCCGCCCAGCGCCUGGCCACUGUGGUGAACGAUGAGCGUUUCGUGUCCAAGGCCGGCAAGUCCAACUACCAGGUGGGCCUGCCGGGAGCCGGGAGCCGGGUGGGAGGGCCACCCCUCUCCGUGACUGAGCCUGAGACUCUCCCCCCACUGCCCCAUGCCCUGCAGCUGUGGCACGAGCUGUGCGACCUCAUCUCCCAGAAUCCGGACAAGGUACAGUCCCUCAAUGUGGACGCCAUCAUCCGCGGGGGCCUCACCCGCUUCACCGACCAGCUGGGCAAGCUCUGGUGUUCUCUCGCUGACUACUACAUCCGCAGCGGCCACUUCGAGAAGGCUCGGGACGUGUACGAGGAGGCCAUCCGGACGGUGAUGACCGUGCGGGACUUCACACAGGUGUUUGACAGCUACGCCCAGUUCGAGGAGAGCAUGAUCGCCGCAAAGAUGGAGACCGCCUCAGAGCUGGGGCGCGAGGAGGAGGAUGAUGUGGACCUGGAGCUACGCCUGGCCCGCUUUGAGCAGCUCAUCAGCCGGCGGCCCCUGCUCCUCAACAGCGUCUUGCUGCGCCAAAACCCACACCACGUGCACGAGUGGCACAAGCGUGUCGCCCUGCACCAGGGCCGCCCCCGGGAGAUCAUCAACACCUACACAGAGGCUGUGCAGACGGUGGACCCCUUCAAGGCCACAGGCAAGCCCCACACUCUGUGGGUGGCGUUUGCCAAGUUUUAUGAGGACAACGGGCAGCUGGACGAUGCCCGCGUCAUCCUGGAGAAGGCCACCAAGGUGAAUUUCAAGCAGGUGGAUGACCUGGCAAGCGUGUGGUGUCAGUGCGGGGAGCUGGAGCUCCGACACGAGAACUACGAUGAGGCCUUGCGGCUGCUGCGAAAGGCCACGGCGCUGCCUGCCCGCCGGGCCGAGUACUUUGAUGGCUCAGAGCCUGUGCAGAACCGCGUGUACAAGUCGCUGAAGGUCUGGUCCAUGCUCGCUGACCUGGAGGAGAGCCUCGGCACCUUCCAGUCCACUAAGGCCGUGUAUGACCGCAUCCUGGACCUGCGUAUCGCGACGCCCCAGAUCGUCAUCAACUAUGCCAUGUUCCUGGAGGAGCACAAGUACUUCGAGGAGAGCUUCAAAGUGAGGGGCUGGGGCGGACCCAGAGGCCCCUGAUGGCGGUGUCCCCUCCCCAGGGGUCCUCGGCAACUUACAAGUCUGCUGGGGCUUGUGUGACACAGUAUACAGACUGGGUGAUGUAAACAACAGAGAUUCAGCUUCUCCCCGUCCUGCAGGCUGGAAGUCCAGGAUUGAGGCAUGGGCAGGGCUAGUUCCUCCUGAGGCCUCUCUCCUCAGCUUACAGACAGCCGCCUUCUCCCUUUGUCUUUGUGUGGCCUUCUCUGUGUGUGUGUGUCACUUUUGAAAUUUCCUCUUCUUAAAAGGACAUCAGGCAUAAUGGAUUAGGAGGCCCCUAACGACCUCAGUUUAACUUAAUGAUCUCAUCUUCAAACGAAUCUACUUUCUGAGGUACUGGGGGUUAAGAUUUGAGCAUAUGAGUGUUUUGGGGGGGCACAGUGCAUUCCAUAGCAGGCACAGAGUCCUACUUCCAUGUGCACCCAUCACUCGUGGGGAGGGUGUUGGUGCCAGUGUGUGCGGGCUUUCCCUGCCCCACUGCUCAGGAGACGGGUUGUGGGGUCCAGGGGGUGUGUUGCGUGUCGCCGUGGCAAGGCCCUGUCCCGCGGCCGGAGCAGUCAUGUUUGAGUGUGUGUUUCUAUGGAUCGUGUGGGCGUUAUACAGAUACGCAAAUGGGGAGGUCCUACAUGCACAUGCGUGCUACUGCCUGCCUCUCUGUCAGGGGGUGCAACCUCCUCCCUGGGGACAGGCAGCCAGCAUCAGCAGAGCUGGGGAGCCACCCACCUUCACCCAUCAUGUCACCUCCUAUGGGGCCAGACUGUGCUUAGCAGGUCCCAUUGCACCCCUGUUCUUGGGGUUCUCACAGAGGGAGACAGUGCAGAGGACAGACCCCCACAACUGCCAUUAGGGACAGGGAGGCGUGGACAGGGAAGGGCCCCAAGGGAGAUCCCGGCGGGCUCCCUACAGACGUCGCCCAAGGACAUCCCGGGUGCCUGGUGGUCUCUAUCUGCAGAUUUUCACAUGUGACUCUCCCUGUGGUAACAGGCGUACGAGCGCGGCAUCUCGCUGUUCAAGUGGCCCAACGUGUCCGACAUCUGGAGCACCUACCUGACCAAAUUCAUUGCCCGCUAUGGGGGCCGCAAGCUGGAGCGGGCGCGGGACCUGUUUGAACAGGCUCUGGAUGGCUGCCCCCCAAAAUACGCCAAGAGUGAGGCGCGCAGAGGGCUUGGGGUGGGGAUUGUGGGCGGGCUGGGUUUCUGACUGGCCUCGGCUGACCAUGCUCCCCUCUCCCCCCUUCCCCGCCCAGCCUUGUACCUGCUGUAUGCGCAGCUGGAGGAGGAGUGGGGCCUGGCCCGGCAUGCCAUGGCCGUGUACGAGCGUGCCACCAGGGCCGUGGAGCCCGCCCAGCAGUACGACAUGUUCAACAUCUACAUCAAGCGGGCGGCCGAGAUCUAUGGGGUCACCCACACCCGCGGCAUCUACCAAAAGGCCAUUGAGGUGCUGUCGGACGAGCAUGCGCGUGAGAUGUGCCUGAGAUUUGCAGACAUGGAGUGCAAGCUCGGGGAGAUCGACCGCGCCCGGGCCAUCUACAGCUUCUGCUCCCAGAUCUGUGACCCCCGGGUAGGGCUGGGGGCUGUGGGGAGGGACGGGCAUCAGGGUUGGGGGCUGCAGCGGAGUCAGCCAGCUCACGGGCACACACACCCACCCCUGCCCUGCUCUCCACACAGACGACCGGCGUGUUCUGGCAGACGUGGAAGGACUUCGAGGUCCGGCAUGGCAACGAGGACACCAUCAAGGAGAUGCUGCGUAUCCGGCGCAGCGUGCAGGCCACAUACAACACGCAGGUCAACUUCAUGGCCUCGCAGAUGCUCAAGGUCUCGGGCAGUGCCACGGGCACCGUAUCUGACCUGGCCCCUGGGCAGAGCGGCAUGGACGACAUGAAGCUGCUGGAACAGCGGGCAGAGCAGCUGGCGGCUGAAGCGGAGCGCGACCAGCCCUUGCGCGCCCAGAGCAAGAUCCUGUUCGUGAGGAGUGACGCCUCCCGGGAGGAGCUGGCAGAGCUGGCACAGCAGGUCAACCCUGAGGAGAUCCAGCUGGGCGAGGACGAGGACGAGGACGAGAUGGACCUGGAGCCCAACGGUGAGGGCCUGGCGGGGGCAGGGAUGGGGGCAGGGCCGGGGCGGGCCUUGGGGAACAGGCCAACGCCAGGAGGGUGACUGGCUCCCGCCUUCCCCACAGAGGUUAGGCUGGAGCAGCAGAGCGUGCCAGCCGCAGUGUUCGGGAGCCUGAAGGAAGACUGACCUGUCCCUCCCCUAUCCCCCUUCCCCACCCCCUCCCCAAUACAGCUACGUUUGUAUAUC
rnacentral:sRNA from 1 species